rnacentral:lncRNA from 1 species
GCCUUCGCUACUUGCUUGUAAGCGCGCGUGCUGAUCCAGCCGCCCGUCUUCUUGUUUUCGAAACCCCACUUCAUUAGAGAUUGAGUUUGAAACCUUCAUUUACAUCUGGUAAUUUAGUACUUGUUCUACUUGUUCUUGCUGAUUCUUCGAUUGCUUGCAGGACGAGUGCCCUAGUGGCCGGGUGUUGCGCUCCACAAGAUCGUGACAGCCAUUGGAGGCGGUGUAUCGGUUGCUAAGGCGCAGUCUUGAGGGCUGUAGUCGGGCCGUGAACGUCAUCUCCAUUCACUAAUCGAGUUAUCUAGCGCCUCUCAUCGAAAGAUCAGGCGAAAACCCUAGUGGGUUCACAUCAGUUGGUAAUCAGAGCAAGGUUUAUCGGUGAAAGAUUUCCAAUUCUUCGUGUUUGUUUUUCCUAUAGUCCAAAAAAAGACAAAAAAAUAUAGCAGAUUUGUUUUCCAUAAUCCUAUAAAUCCUUUGUGCCGUGGCUAGUACUACUUAGUUAGGGCUGGUUGAAUGAGUGUUUGCUUCGGUCGUGUCCAGUGCUGGUUUUAGUUUAGUCCUUUAGAGUUUUGAGUUCUUGUCACCAUCUAGUCACAACUGCGUCCAAUCUAUUAUGGGUUGGAAUUUGAGUAGAUCUUGAUAAUAGGUGCAGCCACUUGUUUGUCUAUUCUGCGUUUCCAUCAACGUGAUCCAAAAGGAAAGAUAGCACUUCAUACUUGUGCUAGAUAUAUUGAAUUUUGAGGUUCAGCCUUACUCUAGUGAGAGGGUGAGAGUGGUGAAGUGAUAUUUUGUACUAUUUCGUUUAUAUAAUCAGGUUUUGAGGUUCCCCAAAAAAAAUAAAGAAAAAAAAGAAAGAAAGAAAGAAAAAAGAAAAAAAAAUCAAAAGAAGGGGAUUGUUGUUCUUUUUGUUUCCAGUAGGGCUGCUCAUUUUGUUUCUAGUGGUGUGCUGUGUUUUCCCUUUGUGUCCAGGCUCGCGUCUCUAGCACGGUCUAGGCUAGGACCAGCACAGUACCACCGUUGAGCGUUUAUUCAGCUCGCUUUUAUAACUAACGUGGUGCUAGUUCGUUCCUUGUUUCAGCCCACCUAUAGCUCCACAUACUCUACAGCUUGACAGGUCUUGUGCUGCAGCACCGAUACACUUCGUCCAUUGCUGUACACUUGUUGGCAGACGACCUCUCCUAUCAAGCAAGGUAAGAAUUGGUAAGAACUUGUGUUACAGGUUGAGUGUGAGCGACUUGCUGUAGCUACAUCCUAGUAGUUGUAGGGCUUUUAUUUUUUCACUUGCCUUUUUGUUGUCUUUGUCUUUGAACCAUGCCAGGGGCAGAUGAUGGCAACGAAACACCACUUACACCUCGCACUAAGGGCAUCAUACAACAUUUUGAAAGGAAAGUGAAGCUGCACACAGAGGGACUUGAUAACGACUUGCAGGUGACGAAUGAAAAGCUGGGGCAGUUGGAGGCUACGCAGAUUGCCACAAACAACAAGCUCACAAGUUUGGAGGAAUCCGUUGCUAGUGUGGACAAAAGCCUUGCUGCUCUCCUAAGGCGAUUGGAUGAUUUCCACACCGAAGAACAGAGAAGCAUAAAGAAGAAAAGGAGGGAGAUCGAGAGCACGGUAGUCAUGAAGAUGACUACACUGGUGAUACUGAACAUGAUGAUCAAGACACUCGUGAUCGACGUCGCCUUCGUCACAACCGUAGAGGUAUGGGUGGCAACCGCCGACGCGAGGUACACAAUAAUAAUGAUGCUUUCAGUAAGAUUAAAUUUAAAAUACCUCCUUUUGAUGGUAAAUAUGACCCUGAUGCAUACAUUACUUGGGAGAUUGCUGUUGACCAAAAAUUUACAUGUCAUGAAUUCCCUGAGGAUACACGUGUUAGGGCUGCUACUAGUGAGUUCACCGAUUUUGCUUCCGUUUGGUGGAUAGAACAUGGCAAGAAAAAUCCUAAUAACAUACCUAGAACUUGGAAUGCGUUGAAACAAGUCAUGAGGGCUAGAUUUGUUCCUUCUUACUAUGCACGUGACAUGAUUAAUAAGUUGCAGCAAUUGAGACAAGGUGCUAAAAGUGUAGAAGAAUAUUAUCAGGAAUUACAAAUGGGUAUGCUGCGAUGUAAUUUAGAGGAGGAAGAAGAACCUGCUAUGGCUAGAUUUUUGGGCGGGUUAAAUCGUGAAAUCCAGGACAUUCUUGCUUAUAAAGAUUAUACUAACGUAACCCGUUUGUUUCAUCUUGCUUGUAAAGCUGAAAGGGAAGUGCAGGGACAACGUUCUAGUGCCAAAUCUAACAAUUCUGCAGGGAAAUCCUGGCAACAACGCACAUCUGCUACAUUGUCGGGUGGUGUACCUCUUCCAUCAAGCCGAUCAAUAGCUCCACCACCUUCCUAUAGCGACAAACCACAUGAUUCUUCCACAAAUACAGCAACUAAAUCAGCCCAGAGACCAAUCGCUAGUGCCACCUCGGUUAAUUCCACGGGAAGAACAAGAGAUGUUCAGUGUCAUCGAUGCAAGGGAUAUGGGCACAUGAUGCGUGACUGCCCAAACAAGCGAGUUAUGAUUGUCAGGGAUGAUGGUGAGUACUCAUCUGCUAGUGAUUUUGAUGAGGAUACACUUGCACUGCUUGCGACUGACCAUGCAGGUAAUGAAGAUCAAAUAGAAGAACAUAUUAAUGCAGGUGAAGUGGACCACUAUGAGAGCUUGAUCGUGCAGCGAGUGCUUAGUGCACAAAUGGAGAUGGCGGAGCAAAAUCAGCGACACAUUUUAUUCCAAACAAAGUGUGUCAUCAAAGAGCGUUCUUGUCGCAUGAUCAUUGAUGGAGGUAGCUGCAACAACUUGGCAAGCAGCGAUAUGGUGCAGAAGCUUGCCCUCAACACCAAGCCACACCCGCAUCCCUACUACAUCCAAUGGCUGAACAACAGUGGUAAGGCAAAGAUAACUAGACUUGUGAGAAUUAAUUUUUCCAUCGGAUCCUACAAAGAUAUUGUUGAAUGUGAUGAGGACAUCAACACCAGCGAUACAUAUCCUACAUCCACCAGCGAUACAUAUCCUACAUCCACCAGCGAUACAUAUCCUACAUCCUCUCCGACACAGCCUAUAGCUGGUCCUCUUACUCGUGCUCGUGCCCGUCAACUCAACCUUCAAGUAAGUUCAGCUUUAAACUCUUGUCAAUCAUAUUUAGACAAUGGAGACACGUGCACUUUGGUGUUGCUCAGGAAUAAUGGACAAGAUCAGCAAGGGAAGGUUCAACUGCAUUCAGAAUUUGAGGCAACACCAACUUCAAGGGCUGAUUGCAUAUGGGAAGAGUGAUAACUUAACAAAGGUGAUCGGAGAUCAGGUCCAAGCCUCCACAACAUCCUCUGUCAAGUUACCACGUCGUUUCUAAAACAAGGAAACAAAGAGUCCAAACCCAACACGUUUUGGGAGUUGGAUUCGGACUGGAAAAUAACUCUAACUUGUAUGGAUCACCACGGCGUCAUAUGGACUCCAACUGGGACGUUCCUAUACUUGUUGGAAAGUCAUGAAGUCUACUUUCCAAUGGGUCCAACCACAUAUCUAUGCGGCUUAUGAGUCGGGCGCAGUCCUUGUUUUCGUGCUGACACCUUUUUCUGUUUUGGUGCUGCGUCACCAUAUUUUGGACCAAUGGCCCAUGUAUCAAGUUGAGUCCAUUAGGGACGCGUCCUAGGGUUGGAGGACGACUCUAGCACCCCUUUGGCCGUCCUCCCCUCUAUUUAUUUACAUCUAGAGCCGCCAUGAACAACUGGGUUUUGAUUAGAUAAAGUUUAGCCUUCGCUACUUGCUUUCGAAACCCCACUUCAUUAGAGAUUGAGUUUGAAACCUUCAUUUACAUCUGGUAAUUUAGUACUUGUUCUACUUGUUCUUGCUGGUUCUUCGAUUGCUUGCAGGACGAGUGCCCUAGUGGCCGGGUGUUGCGCUCCACAAGAUCGUGACAGCCAUUGGAGGCGGUGUAUCGGUUGCUAAGGCGCAGUCUUGAGGGCUGUAGUCGGGCCGUGAACGUCAUCUCCAUUCACUAAUCGAGUUAUCUAGCGCCUCUCAUCCAAAGAUCAGGCGAAAACCCUAGUGGGUUCACAUCAGAACAUACCAUAUGCAAAGAAAUCCAUUUGGAUGCACCCCAAUAGAACUCCAAGAUGACAUGUGUCAUAUGGAAUCUCGCUUUGGUCUGUUUGGAGACAGAGUUAGUUUUGGUGCAAAACAGGUACACAGUUUCCGCCUAAUGCAUCAUAGGCAAAGAAACCAUUUUGGAUGCACCCGAUGAUACUCCUGGGUAAAGGGGCUCA